AUGAAAGUCUUCACUUAUAGGAAUCCUUUUUUUUUUUUUUUUUAUCUGUUUAACCACAAGCUGGAGAGACAAACAUCCGUUUGUGGCCCAGGCAGUUUAUCUGGGCCCUCCAUCUUGACUGUUCCAGACUUCAGAGGCCGUCAGUCUAAAGCGCGUUCAUCAUCCACCAUCCAUCCCAAGAUUCCUCUCGACUGUGCCAUUACUGGAGUCUUGAUUCAAGCAAACGGUUCUUACUGUGGAUGUAGGUCACCAACACAUGACCAGGGUGGCCUGAGUCCUCCACCAGAAACAAAUCAUAAGAGGAAAAGAACAAAUACAAAGGCUCAAACACUGCUCUGGCCAGCUGGGCAGGAGACAUAUGAGGAAAAAGGACACAGAUCCUUCUGGACAGGGAAGUCUGAUCCGUUGAUGCCUGGAUCCAAUCAAAGCCAGAGCUCCAUGGAGCCGGGUGACUCACGCACACACCACAGCGACUCAGUGACAAGAGUUGGCACUUACCUGCAGGGUGGCAGAUUGCUACGCUGUCCCUGCUUCUUACACAUCCAUCCCUGACAAACUUAAAUAAAAACUAAACAGAACUCGCCCA
rnacentral:lncRNA from 1 species